UACAGAGGGGGCAAGCGUUGUUCGGAAUUACUGGGCGUAAAGGGCGCGUAGGUGGCCCGGUCAGUUCGUGGUGAAAGCGCGGGGCUCAACCCUGCGUCGGCCAUGAAUACUGCCGCGGCUGGAGCACUGUAGAGGCAGGCGGAAUUCCGGGUGUAGCGGUGGAAUGCGUAGAGAUCCGGAAGAACACCGGUGGCGAAGGCGGCCUGCUGGGCAGUUGCUGACACUGAGGCGCGACAGCGUGGGGAGCAAACAGG
rnacentral:rRNA from 1 species